rnacentral:rRNA from 1 species
UACAGAGGGUGCAAGCGUUGUUCGGAAUUAUUGGGCGUAAAGCGCGUGUAGGCGGCCUUGCAAGUCGGGUGUGAAAGCCCUCAGCUUAACUGAGGAAGUGCGCCCAAAACUGCUAGGCUUGAGUACCGGAGAGGAUGGCGGAAUUCCCCAAGUAGAGGUGAAAUUCGUAGAUAUGGGGAGGAACACCGGUGGCGAAGGCGGCCAUCUGGACGGAUACUGACGCUGAGACGCGAAAGCGUGGGUAGCAAACAGG